AUUGCCCUAGUAACGGCGAGUGAAGCGGCAACAGCUCAAAUUUGAAAUCUGGCCUCGGCCCGAGUUGUAAUUUGCAGAGGAUGCUUCUGGCGCGGUGCCUUCCGAGUUCCCUGGAACGGGACGCCACAGAGGGUGAGAGCCCCGUAUGGUCGGACACCAAGCCUGUGUGAAGCUCCUUCGACGAGUCGAGUAGUUUGGGAAUGCUGCUCUAAAUGGGAGGUAAAUCUCUUCUAAAGCUAAAUACCGGCCAGAGACCGAUAGCGCACAAGUAGAGUGAUCGAAAGAUGAAAAGCACCUUGAAAAGGGGGUUAAAUAGUACGUGAAAUUGUUGAAAGGGAAGCACUUAUGACCAGACUUGGGCCGGGCGGCUCAUCAGGGGUUCUCCCCUGUGCACUCCGCCCGGCACAGGCCAGCAUCGGUUCUCGUGGGGGGAUAAGACCGUCAGGAACGUAGCACCCUCCGGGGUGUGUUAUAGCCUGGCGGACGAUACCCCCGUGGGGACCGAGGUCCGCGCUCCGCAAGGAUGCUGGCGUAAUGGUCAUCAGUGACCCGUCUUGAAACACGGACCAAGGAGUCGUCCAUUAGAGCGAGCGUUUGGGUGUAAAACCCGCACGCGUAAUGAAAGUGAACGCAGGUGAGAGCUUCGGCGCAUCAUCGACCGAUCCUGAUGUUCUCGGAAGGAUUUGAGUAAGAGUUUUAACGGACGGACCCGAAAGACAGUGAACUAUGCUUGUAUAGGGUGAAGCCAGAGGAAACUCUGGUGGAGGCUCGCAGCGGUUCUGACGUGCAAAUCGAUCGUCAAAUAUGAGCAUGGGGGCGAAAGACUAAUCGAAC
rnacentral:rRNA from 1 species